GAUGAACGCUGGCGGCGUGCCUAAUACAUGCAAGUCGAGCGAACGGACGAGAAGCUUGCUUCUCUGAUGUUAGCGGCGGACGGGUGAGUAACACGUGGAUAACCUACCUAUAAGACUGGGAUAACUUCGGGAAACCGGAGCUAAUACCGGAUAAUAUUUUGAACCGCAUGGUUCAAAAGUGAAAGACGGUCUUGCUGUCACUUAUAGAUGGAUCCGCGCUGCAUUAGCUAGUUGGUAAGGUAACGGCUUACCAAGGCAACGAUGCAUAGCCGACCUGAGAGGGUGAUCGGCCACACUGGAACUGAAACACGGUCCAGACUCCUACGGGAGGCAGCAGUCGGGAAUCUUCCGCAAUGGGCGAAAGCCUGACGGAGCAACGCCGCGUGAGUGAUGAAGGUCUUCGGAUCGUAAAACUCUGUUAUUAGGGAAGAACAUAUGUGUAAGUAACUGUGCACAUCUUGACGGUACCUAAUCAGAAAGCCACGGCUAACUACGUG
rnacentral:rRNA from 1 species